rnacentral:rRNA from 1 species
GACGAACGCUGGCGGCGGGCCUAAUACAUGCAAGUAGAACGCAGUGGCGAACGGGUGAGUAACGCGUGGGUAACUGCCUCAUAGCGGGGGAUAACUAUGGGAAAGGAUAGCUAAUACCGCAUACGGUGCGAUGGACCUGCGUUGUGUUAGCGAGUUGGUGAGGUAAAGGCCCACCAAGGCGACGAUACAUAGCCGGGCUGAGAGGGUGAUCGGCCACAAUGGGACUGGGGCACGGCCCAGACUCCUACGGGAGGCAGCAGGAGGGAAUCUUCGGCAAUGGACGGAAGUCUGACCAAGCAACGGCGCGUGAGUGAAGAAGGUUUUCGGAGCUUAAAGCUCUGUUGUUAGAGAAGCGGUACCUAAACAGAAAGCGACGGCUAACUACGUGCCAGCCGCCGCGGUAAUAC